ensembl:lncRNA
AAAUAAUUUUGAAAUAUAAUUCCAAUGACUGUGAACUGCAGUAGGAACAUUGCAGUUCCAUGGUAAUAUUACUCAGUAAUGUCAACUUUCUUGAGAGCUUUCAGUUAGCUAAUUUUUCAUCUAUUUAGCAUAUCUUUUUGAUAAUUUGUAGUGCUGGUUCUUAAAAUCAGGCUGAUUUGAUGUCUGUUGACUGUUAUGAUACUCUUCUCCUUUAAGUCUUCAUUUGCUGAAUUCAACGUGGAAUCAAUGGAUUUUGCCUUCUUUACUCUUGCUUCUUGCAUUUGUACAAAUGAAAAUGAGGAAUUUCUUAUGAUCUCUUGAGAUGCCGACUCCAAAAUGAUUCUUUGCUUAGGAUACCCACAAACCCACUGAGCAAACUGUUUCUCUUUGGUUGUGUAUUUUGCCCAGUCUCAUAUCUUAUGUCUUAUCUGAAGCACCUUUUCUGCUUCUCUCCCAGCAGGAACAAGUACGUGUCAAAAGGCACUUCUUCCUGGAAGCUAUUUGCACAGAAGCCUGAGCCCCAAGAACUGCGUUGUGCUGCUCAGGAACAGUUUCUUUCUCUUUACUGGGCACGCAAUAUUUGUGAACUGAUUAAUACCUGGCAAGAGGAAGAGACUUGCAUAAGCUUAUACUGGAGGUGGCCUUAA